GGGACAUUGGCUGCUGUCUUCUGACCCACCCUGUGUGGCUUUGGCGUCUCCUGUGACCUCCCAGUAUGGGUCUUGGCCUCAUCCUGCCUCUUUGUCUUUCUGGCCCACCACCCACAGCUUGAAUCUCAGGCUCCAACAGUUGCCUGACCCCCAGAUUCUGAUGACAGCCUACCUACUUGUUCUUCAGGCCCUCACCAGACUCACUGCCCAGACACACCACACAGGA
rnacentral:lncRNA from 1 species